GACGAACCGUGCAAACGUUGUUCGGAAUCACUGGCUUAAAGGGCGCGUAGGCGGGCAAGCAAGUCGAAGGUGAAAUCCCACGGCUCAACCGUGGAAGUGCCCCGAUACUGCUUGUCUUGAGGAGAUAGGGCGUGCGGAACUUCCGGUGGAGCGGUGAAAUGCGUUGAUAUCGAUAGGAACUCCGGUGGCGAAGGCGGCAUACGUGGACCACAUCUGACGCUGA
rnacentral:rRNA from 1 species